UGGGGAAUAUUGGGCAAUGGAGGAAACUCUGACCCAGCAACGCCGCGUGAAUGAAGAAGGUCUUCGGAUUGUAAAGUUCUGUGGAUAGGGAUGAAAAAAAUGACAGUACCUAUAGAGCAAGCCACGGCAAACUACGUGCCAGCAGCCGCGGUAAAACGUAGGUGGCAAGCGUUGUCCGGAAUGACUGGGCGUAAAGGGUGCGUAGGCGGCCUGUUAAGUUGGAAGUGUAAUACCUGGGCUUAACUUGGGUGCUACUUCCAAAACUAGCGGGCUUGAGUGCGGGAGAGGUAAGCGGAAUUCCUAGUGUAGCGGUGGAAUGCGUAGAUAUUAGGAGGAACACCAGCGGCGAAGGCGGCUUACUCGACCGUAACCGACGCUGAAGCACGAAAGCGUGGGGAGCAAACAG
rnacentral:rRNA from 1 species